UUUUAAUGUUAUGUUUUAAACUCGGAAAUUCUGGGUGGUCAUCAUCUUCUUCUCUUGCACUUUACGAGACUGGAGUUAAAUAACGGCAUGCACUAU